rnacentral:rRNA from 1 species
AUUUUUCACAAUGGACGAAAGUCUGAUGGAGCAAUACCACGUGAACGAUGAAGGUCUUCUGAUUGUAAAGUUCUUUUAUUUAGGAAAAAAAGCGUGCUAGGAAAUGAGCGCGCCUUGAUGGUACUAAUUGAAUAAGUGACAGCUAACUAUGUGCCAGCAGCUGCGGUAAAACAUAGGUCACGAGCAUUAUCCGGAUUUAUUGGGCGUAAAGGAAGCGUAGGCGGGGAGGUUGAUCCAUUGUUAAAAGCAUUUGCUUAACAAAUGUGUGCAUUGGAGAUCGCCUCCCUAGAGUUAAUCAGGGGGUACUGGAAUUCAAUGUGUAGCGGUGGAAUGCGUAGAUAUAUUGAGGAACACCAGAGGCUAAGGCGAGUGCCUAGGAUAUAACUGACGCUGAGGCUUGAAAGCGUGGGGAGCAAAUGGGAUUAGAUACCCCAGUAGUCCACGCCGUAAACGAUGAGCAUUGGGCAUUUGACAUCUGGUCGAGUGCUGUAGCUAACGCGUUAAAUGC